AACGAACGCUGGCGGCGUGCUUAACACAUGCAAGUCGAACGAAAAAUCAUUGAAAGCUUGCUGAUAUGAUUUUUAGUGGCGGACGGGUGAGUAACGCGUGAGGACUUGUCUUAUACAGGGGGACAACAGUUGGAAACGGCUGCUAAUACCCCAUAAGCCUUAGGGUAAAAGGAGCAAUCCGGUAUUCGAGAGACUCGCGUCCUAUCAGCUAGUAGGUGAGGUAACGGCUCACCUAGGCGAAGACGGGUAGCCGGCCUGAGAGGGCGAACGGCCACACUGGAACUGAGACACGGUCCAGACUCCUACGGGAGGCAGCAGUGGGGAAUAUUGGGCAAUGGGGGCAACCCUGACCCAGCGACGCCGCGUGAGUGAAGAAAUCCCUCGGGAUGUAAAGCUCUAUUGUGUGGGAAGAUAAUGACGGUACCACACGAGGAAGCCCCGGCAAACUACGUGCCAGCAGCCGCGGUAA
rnacentral:rRNA from 1 species